rnacentral:rRNA from 1 species
UACGUAGGGGGCUAGCGUUGUCCGGAAUCAUUGGGCGUAAAGAGCGUGUAGGCGGCUUGGUAGGUCCGCUGUGAAAACUCGAGGCUCAACCUCGAGAUGUCGGCGGAAACCACUUGGCUAGAGUCCGGAAGAGGAGAGUGGAAUUCCUGGUGUAGCGGUGAAAUGCGCAGAUAUCAGGAAGAACACCGAUGGCGAAGGCAGCUCGCUGGGACGUUACUGACACUGAGGCGCGAAAGCGUGGGGAGCGAACAGG